UACGUAGGGGGCUAGCGUUGUCCGGAAUCAUUGGGCGUAAAGAGCGUGUAGGCGGCCCGGUAAGUCCGCUGUAAAAGUCAAAGGCUCAACCUUUGAAUGUCAGUGGAUACUGCCGGGCUAGAGUCCGGAAGAGGCGAGUGGAACUCCUGGUGUAGCGGUGGAAUGCGCAGAUAUCAGGAAGAACACCGACGGCGAAGGCAGCUCGCUGGGACGGUACUGACGCUGAGACGCGAAAGCUAGGGGAGCGAACAGG
rnacentral:rRNA from 1 species